rnacentral:rRNA from 1 species
AGAGUUUGAUCCUGGCUCAGGACGAACGCUGGCGGCGCGCCUAACACAUGCAAGUCGAACGAGAGAUGAGGAGCUUGCUCUUCAAAUCGAGUGGCGAACGGGUGAGUAACGCGUGAGGAACCUGCCUCAAAGAGGGGGACAACAGUUGGAAACGACUGCUAAUACCGCAUAAGCCCACGGCUCGGCAUCGAGCAGAGGGAAAAGGAGCAAUCCGCUUUGAGAUGGCCUCGCGUCCGAUUAGCUAGUUGGUGAGGUAACGGCCCACCAAGGCGACGAUCGGUAGCCGGACUGAGAGGUUGAACGGCCACAUUGGGACUGAGACACGGCCCAGACUCCUACGGGAGGCAGCAGUGGGGAAUAUUGCACAAUGGGGGAAACCCUGAUGCAGCGACGCCGCGUGGAGGAAGAAGGUUUUCGGAUUGUAAACUCCUGUCGUUAGGGACGAUAAUGACGGUACCUAACAAGAAAGCACCGGCUAACUACGUGCCAGCAGCCGCGGUAAAACGUAGGGUGCAAGCGUUGUCCGGAAUUACUGGGUGUAAAGGGAGCGCAGGCGGGAAGACAAGUUGGAAGUGAAAACCAUGGGCUCAACCCAUGAAUUGCUUUCAAAACUGUUUUUCUUGAGUAGUGCAGAGGUAGAUGGAAUUCCCGGUGUAGCGGUGGAAUGCGUAGAUAUCGGGAGGAACACCAGUGGCGAAGGCGGUCUACUGGGCACCAACUGACGCUGAGGCUCGAAAGCAUGGGUAGCAAACAGGAUUAGAUACCCUGGUAGUCCAUGCCGUAAACGAUGAUUACUAGGUGUUGGAGGAUUGACCCCUUCAGUGCCGCAGUUAACACAAUAAGUAAUCCACCUGGGGAGUACGACCGCAAGGUUGAAACUCAAAGGAAUUGACGGGGGCCCGCACAAGCAGUGGAGUAUGUGGUUUAAUUCGACGCAACGCGAAGAACCUUACCAAGUCUUGACAUCCCUUGACGAUGCUGGAAACAGUAUUUCUCUUCGGAGCAAGGAGACAGGUGGUGCAUGGUUGUCGUCAGCUCGUGUCGUGAGAUGUUGGGUUAAGU